rnacentral:rRNA from 1 species
GAUGAACGCUGGCGGCGUGCUUAACACAUGCAAGUCGAACGGACAGAUUGGAGCUUGCUCCAUGAAGUUAGUGGCGGACGGGUGAGUAACGCGUGGGUAACCUGCCCUAUGCAGGGGGAUAACAACAAGAAAUUGUUGCUAAUACCGCAUAACAUAUUGAAUCCGCAUGGAUUUGAUAUCAAAGAUUUAUCGGCAUAGGAUGGACCCGCGUUAGAUUAGCUAGUUGGUGAGAUAAUAGCUCACCAAGGCGACGAUCUAUAGCCGGCCUGAGAGGGUGAACGGCCACACUGGGACUGAGACACGGCCCAGACUCCUACGGGAGGCAGCAGUGGGGAAUAUUGCACAAUGGGCGCAAGCCUGAUGCAGCGACGCCGCGUGAAGGAUGAAGGUUUUCGGAUCGUAAACUUCUAUCAGCAGGGAGGAACCAAAUGACGGUACCUGACUAAGAAGCCCCGGCUAACUACGUGCCAGCCGCCGCCGUAAAAC